CCUACGGGGGGCUGCAGUGGGGAAUAUUGCACAAUGGGGGAAACCCUGAUGCAGCGACGCCGCGUGAGUGAAGAAGUAUUUCGGUACGUAAAGCUCUAUCAGCAGGGAAGAAAAUGACGGUACCUGACUAAGAAGCCCCGGCUAACUACGUUCCAGCAGCCGCGGUAAUACGUAGGAUGCGAGCGUUAUCCGGAUUUAUGGGGUUUAAAGGGUGCGCAGGCGGAGGCACAAGUCAGCGGUAAAAUCGCGGGGCUCAACCCCGCUCCGCCGUUGAAACUGUGUCCCUUGAGUGCGCGAAGGGUAGGCGGAAUGCGUGGUGUAGCGGUGAAAUGCAUAGAUAUCACGCAGAACUCCGAUUGCGAAGGCAGCAUACCGGCGCUCAACUGACGCUCAUGCACGAAAGUGUGGGUAUCGAACAGGAUUAGAUACCCGAGUAGUC
rnacentral:rRNA from 1 species